GGGUAAAGUCACAUUGUGAUGUAACCUCUGGCCCUGCACCUUUACAUGACGGGAUCCCAGAGAUGGAAGGUCAUUUGAGGACAAAGUGAGAAAAUGGCUGUCUGCAAGCCAGGAAGAGAGGGCUCACCAAAUGCCAAUCCUGACAGCAACUUGAUCUUGGACUUCUAGCCUCCAGAGAGGUGAGAGCCUGAAGGACCCAAGGAGACGGGUAAAGUGUCAAGGACCCGGAUGAGAUCCGUCUCUUGUUGCUACAUAAACAGAGGCUACACACAAUUCAGAGGCAUGUUUUAAAAAUGAGAGCUCAACUAAAAUUUGUUACCAUAACCACUAAUAUUCAAAUGUUCUCAGCUAUUUCUUAAGCUAAGCUAGGAACUAUCCCUAGAGUUGAGCAGAGUCCCCUAAAAGCUUUUAACUUGGAAAUCACCAUGCUAUGGGAGAAAUAUAUACAACACUGGGAAAGGUUUUGAGGUUCUUGCAGGCACUUCUUUUUCAAUAAGCCACUUUAUUGAGGUGUGAAUGACAUAUAAAGAGCUAUACAUAUUUAACGUAUAUGACUUGAUGAUUUUGGAUAUAAGUAUAUACCAGUGAAACCAUCACCACAAUAUAUGCCAUAAACAUAUCCGUCACCUUCAAAAGUUUCCUCCUGCCUUAUUAUUAUUAAUUUUUGUGAUAAUGACACUUAACAUAAGAUCUACUCUCUUAGCCAAUUCUUAAUAUUGUCAGCACAGCCACUAUGCUGUUCAAUAGAAAAGGACUUUUUCAUCUUGCAUAACUGAAACUUUGUACCCUUUGACCACUUCUCUCCAGCCACUGAACCCUCUAGCUUUGCUCCCGUUUCAAUUUAACCAAGUGCCAGAAGCUUAUUUUGUGUCAUAUUAACAAACAGUAAAUAUUUUAAAUGUUAUCUAGUAAAAAGACUUAACUUGGCUUUUGUAUCUUUUCUGGUCUGCUACAAGUUUCCACCAGUGUCUCCUCUUUCCUUAUUUUGGUCUCACACUUUGUAGCAAAACAGAAGAGGAAGCACUUUAUGCAGAAGACCUUUGGGAACAUUGUAAUUGCAUUUUUCCUAAUCGGUUUUAUUGGGUAUUUCUAGUUUGCUUCCUAUUUCAUGUUCCAUCAUACCUCUAAUUGUUAGAUGUUUAUUA